rnacentral:lncRNA from 1 species
GUUUAACACAUAGAAUUUAACAAUUCUUGAAGCUAAAAACGAAAUCAAAGACAUCCCAAGCGAUCCAAAUUGCACCAACAUCUCUGGAAAUAAUAACAUCGCAAUUGACCAUAUCACAUAAAAACCAUUGUUAGCCAAAUGUUCAGAAACACCAACCGCAUAAAUUGAGAUUGGAGAAGCGGUACCACAGCUAUCUACAUGCCGGACACCAGCUAUAGACAUGCCCAAGACACCCCAGCUAUCUACAUGCCGGAUACCAGCUAUAGACAUGCCGAAAGUGUAAACCCGUGAAUGAUGAACGAUCUUUGGUUGUGAAAGGUGAGCUCUUGCAAUAAUCACCACCGUCUCAGAUUCGAUACAGUUUUUGCAGAUCACCAGAAAUAUCAAUAAACUCN